GACGAACGCUGGCGGCGUGCCUAAUACAUGCAAGUAGAACGCUGAAGAGAGGAGCUUACUCUUCUUGGAUGAGUUGCGAACGGGUGAGUAACGCGUAGGUAACCUGCCUUGUAGCGGGGGAUAACUAUUGGAAACGAUAGCUAAUACCGCAUAACAAUGGAUGACACAUGUCAUUUAUUUGAAAGGGGCAAUUGCUCCACUACAAGAUGGACCUGCGUUGUAUUAGCUAGUAGGUGGGGUAAUGGCUCACCUAGGCGACGAUACAUAGCCGACCUGAGAGGGUGAUCGGCCACACUGGGACUGAGACACGGCCCAGACUCCUACGGGAGGCAGCAGUAGGGAAUCUUCGGCAAUGGGGGCAACCCUGACCGAGCAACGCCGCGUGAGUGAAGAAGGUUUUCGGAUCGUAAAGCUCUGUUGUAAGUCAAGAACGGGUGUGAGAGUGGAAAGUUCACACUGUGACGGUAGCUUACCAGAAAGAGACGGCUAACUACGUG
rnacentral:rRNA from 1 species